AACGAACGCUGGCGGCAUGCCUAACACAUGCAAGUCGAACGAGAUCUUCGGAUCUAGUGGCGCACGGGUGCGUAACGCGUGGGAAUCUGCCCCUUGCUUCGGAAUAACAGUGAGAAAUUACUGCUAAUACCGGAUGAUGUCUUCGGACCAAAGAUUUAUCGGCAAGGGAUGAGCCCGCGUAGGAUUAGGUAGUUGGUGGGGUAAUGGCCUACCAAGCCGACGAUCCUUAGCUGGUCUGAGAGGAUGAUCAGCCACACUGGGACUGAGACACGGCCCAGACCCCUACGGGGGGCCGCAGUGGGGAAUAUUGGAAAAGGGGCGAAAGCCUGAUCCAGCAAUGCCGGGUGGGUGAUGAAGGCCUUAGGGUUGUAAAGCUCUUUUCCCAGGGAUGAUAAUGACAGUACCUGGAGAAUAAGCCCCGGCUAACUCCGU
rnacentral:rRNA from 1 species